rnacentral:rRNA from 1 species
AAAACGACUCUCGGCAACGGAUAUCUCGGCUCUCGCAUCGAUGAAGAACGUAGCAAAAUGCGAUACUUGGUGUGAAUUGCAGAAUCCCGCGAACCAUCGAGUUUUUGAACGCAAGUUGCGCCUGAAGCCAUUAGGUUGAGGGCACGUCUGCCUGGGCGUCUCGC